CCAGAAGUAGAUAGUCUAACCCUCGGGAGGACGUUUACCACGGAGUGAUUCAUGACUGGGGUGAAGUCGUAACAAGGUAGCCCUAGGGGAACCUGGGGCUGGAUCACCUCCUUAUACGA
rnacentral:rRNA from 1 species